rnacentral:sRNA from 1 species
GCGGGAAGGGAGUUUAUUGCGCGAUACGAUUUAAGUUAAGAGGGGAAGUUCAUUUAUGUUAGCUAGGAUAGGGGUUGCCAUUAUUACCUAUUUCAUCAUGCUCGUUUCAUUUGUCGGGAGGAGAGGGAGUUAAAGCUGAACAAGCAUGAUGUUCGUUGUAAACCCACAGGUGUCUUGGUGUGCAAAAUUGGAGAAAUAUUUCUCCAUGUCUGAUGUUUUGAAGGGGCUGAGCAAGAUUUGAUAUUCUCCCGAGUACUCUGACACUACCUUUUGAUGGGGGCUACGUACAUGCAUUGUCUUCUGUUAUUGCAAGUGAUAAGUGCAUCUGUAAAUAAGAACUGUUUGUACUGUACUAGAAAUUUUAGAUGUCAUAGUCUCCGACUGCACACAUCUAUGGUUUAAUAAUAAUAGUAAUAAUAACAGGC